rnacentral:lncRNA from 1 species
GAAAUAACUUCUGAUUGUGUCAAAGGCUUGGAGAGUUUCCAGUCAUCUUCAGAACCACCACAGAGCCAGAUAUACUGGUCAGAGUGGUUCCUUGAUAACAUACUCUUUCCCAAUCAAUGCUUUUGUCUUGUCACUCCUAGCUUGUCGAAAAUCAGCACAUCUUUUCUUCCACAGGUUUAUCCCAUAGGUAAGGUUUAUCUGGACAAAAACAGAAGUACUUUCCUUUCAACUAGCCCAACUGAUGAUUGAUCUAUCCAAAAUUCAUAGCAGGAGCACAAAUAAGGAUUUGUUGAGAUAAAUUACUGUUUGACAAGGAGAGUACAUAGGCAAUGAAUUUGCCUUUGGGUGACAGAGUAUGUCAGGGGGAAAAAAAUAAAAACAAUAACAAUGUUUUAAAAAACUAUCCAUGUAAGUAUUAAGCCCAACAUCUUGUGAAGUGUUAAACACACAAGGUAAGCUUCAGAGCCUACACACUCUUCUCUGUUUUCCUGGGAAAACAAAGUGUGUGUAACCUGACCUCAUUUAUACUGUGUGGGUGGCUUGGGUUUGUUUUUGUUUUUUUCCAUUUUCUCUUUCACUAGUGGGUGCUAUCUAUUAUUCAUUAAGGCUCCAGACUUUUCUGCAAGAUACUCUUUAUUCCUGAUUAACUAUUCAUAUAGUAGAAGAUGGUUUGCUUGGCCUUUUACAACGUUUUCCAGUCUAUUAUCAAUAUCAAAUCAUGUUCCAAUAGCCACAUCACUCUAGCAAAUAAUACUACAUACGAAGCAAACAGUAUAGCAGAGGAGAUAGUAUCGAACUAUUUUAAAACUACAGUGAUGAUGCAUAUAUAUACCUUAAAUAUCCUACAAUGAAUUUGCUACAAGUUGAAAGUGAAGAGGCACUAAAAAGCCUCUUGAUGAAAGUUGACUUAGAGCUCAACAUUCAGAAAACUAAGAUCAUGGCAUCUGG